rnacentral:rRNA from 1 species
ACGAAGGGGGCUAGCGUUGUUCGGAAUUACUGGGCGUAAAGCGCUCGCAGGCGGAUCGAUAAGUCAGGGGUGAAAUCCCGGGGCUCAACCUCGGAAUUGCCUUUGAUACUGUCAAUCUCGAGUCCGGGAGAGGUGAGUGGAACUGCGAGUGUAGAGGUGAAAUUCGUAGAUAUUCGCAAGAACACCAGUGGCGAAGGCGGCUCACUGGCCCGGUACCGACGCUGAGGUGCGAAAGCGUGGGGAGCAAACAGGA